rnacentral:lncRNA from 1 species
UGUGUACAGAAAUGCAAGGCGUGCAUUUGCCACUUGUCUUCGGUCUCCUUUUUGUGAAGAAAUAAUCUGUUGCCGUGGAGACCAGGUGCGACUGGCAGUUCGUGUUCGAGUGUUUACCUACCCUGAGUCUGCGUGUGCUGUUUGGAUCAUGUUUGCUUGUGAAUGUGCCUCUUAGGAGCAUUUGUCUGGGAUUAACUUGGGCUGUACACACAGGCCGGGCUCCCCAAAGGCCUCGGAGCAGCUCAGCCUCAUCGUGUCCAGAGUAUCAAGCGGGAAGUACAUUUAUUCUACAAAAAUGUUAAGUAAAUAGAAGUCUCAAGGAUCCUAUUUUCAAAAUAAACAUACGGAAAUCAAGGAAAA